GCUCACCCAUCCCGGCUCACCCCAUCCCAGCUCACCCCAUCCCAGCUCCCCCCCUCACAGAGCUGUGGCAGUUCCCUCAUUUGCAGGUACCAAACCCUCCUGUGAAACAGCCUUCCCAGCACAUGCACGAGAAGCCACCCAGCCACUCCACAGCACCAGGCAGCGUAACGUCACCUUUGAAACCAGCCUAAUAGGAUUGCCUGGAAAUAUUGUAUCAUUAGAGGCACCAGGCUCAGGGGUGUCCAGGGCUGGGGUGAUGAAAGCCCUGCCCAUCCCCAGCAGAGCUGCUGCUGUGGCGGCUGGGAGGUUUGCUUUGCUCCCUGGGCAAACAGCCCCGCUGGGGCUUGGCGCCUUCUUGUCGCUAAUUUAAUUUGGCAGAGGCCUCAACAAGGGAGGAGCUGCCAGCCUGGGCACCUUCCCUGGCUUUUUGGGGGCCCUUCCAAGCACAGUGCUUCAGCAUCCACUUGGCUUCAGGCAGGAGCAUUGUGGCAAAGUGGUGGAGCCGGUGGGCACUGAUAACGCUGAGCUCAGCAUUUAAACCUCCCGUGAUGCUCCUACCUGUAAAGGGGAGCCUUGAUGCCAUUGAGUGUAGUGACACCAUUAAACCAAGCUGGGAAGCACUGGAUGGACUUGAAGAAACUUAGAAUUAAUGCAAGUAUAUACAAAUAUAAUCAGUCAGGCCAUGGCCCUGUCUAGCCGGCAUCCUCUUCCCCAUAGUGGUCCACAGGAGAUGCUUUGAAAGAAUCUAAAUUCCUUUUGAUGCCUGACCCUGUGGAUGUCUCCUGCAGUGAGGAGUUCCACAGCUCCUUCAUAUGCAGCGUGGGGAAAAAGGACUUUCUGGGGGUGCGGGGGUGUGUGUUUGUGUGUUGAACCCACCACCUCCUAGUUUUGUUUGGCAUCCAGCGUAUCUGGGCUCCAGGGGAUUGCCCUUUGUUUCUCGGAAACUCUAAUGGGCGAGAGGAAGCCGUGACUCAGCUGCUGAUGAAUAGCUGUUGCUCCACAUUACACAUCUCCCUGCUUGCUGGUGCCCCUCAGCACCAGGAACCAAGUAAGCCCGUGCCAGAGAAGCCCCUGUCACAUUGUGGGAUGUCGGUCUGAGCCAAAAUCCUACCUCCAGCCCCUGUUUUCCAUCCAUCCUUCUGAAACCCCUCAUUUCCUUGCAAGAUCAAAACCUUUCACAUGCUGAAAAGCUCCCCUGAUAACUUCCAUUUCCUCCAGCAUCCUCUCAAUUUCUAAUUUUAUUUGGAACACACUACUAAUUUUACACUGAAAAUAAAACCACCCUCUUAUUUUCCCCUUGUUUCAUCGGAUUCAGCUGAUUUAUUUACUAGUUUGCCCCAUUGCACAGCUGGGAGCUUCACUCCUGCCUUGUAACACCCAGCUGGUACCUAGGGCUGGUAUAUUUGGCUUUUUCUCAGCACGGUGGGAUGGGAGGAGAUGUGAAGUGACUGCAGAUGUGAUCACACCUUUCUUCUCAGCUGCUUGCUUUGCUCUCCGGUUGCGAUUUCCGUUUGUAGGCGCCAGCCUGGCUUAAAGUUGGACUGCAGCUUGUAAGCUGACCAUUUGAAGGGCUGGAGCCUGGAUCUGAUCCUGACCUUGGGGUUAGCUAUGAUUUUGCGUGCCAGUACAUGGACAAGGAGGCUGCGUUUCCUGCUUAAUGCCCUUCUUCAGCUCUGCAGCCAUGGCAGAUGAAGGUGGAUGAAGGAAUUGUUGGUUGCUUUCACUCCAUGGAUCCCACCAGGUCCUGGCUGGCUGGAAACCCACCCCAACGGGCUUUGCACCACGUGCAGCAAGACUUUGGAGGACACGACUACCAUGUGCGUAAUGGAGCUAUGGGAGAGGCUCACGUGCUAUCCUGGAUUAUUUUUUUGCCAGUAGAAUGUUUUUGUGGUUAUUUUCUGCUGUGAUUUUUUUUUUUUUUUUUUUUUUUUUUGUAAAUUUCUUUGUUUAUUACAUAGUACCCUGGGAACCAGAAGAAAUGCACUUAGGUGAUGAUGGAAGCACUAUAUAAAAAUCGCUCACUGCUGUUGACUUAAGCUUCUGCAUUUCUGGAGCUUGCUCCCGAGAGGCUUUCCUGUAGCCCUGCCUGAGUCUGGCAGAGACUUGUCAGCUUUUUACGUUAUUAUUCAGGAAAACAAGAGCCUUUGGGCUGCCAUGUCCUCCGAGGCAAGCUCAGCCUCUGCCAUGGGUGUCACCGCAGUCUGGGUCGCUGGGGUGGUAUUGCACCUCUGCGGGAGGGGGGAUCUGGCCCAUUUUUAAUGCUCUUUCUCCCUUACCAAGGUAGUAAAUGUCCUAGAGGAAACCUAGCAGGCGACCAGCACUGGUUCUUUGAUCCCAUCCUGGUUCUCCAUGCGUGUCCUCAUCAUGAAUGCAGCAGAAACUAUCCCUAACAUUUUUCUUUUUCCCCACAUACCACGUUUUUCAAGCUACCUGCUUUAAUUGCUUUCCUGCCCACCAGCCUUUCUCGUGACUUGGUGCCACUGUACUUGUAACUUCGCGUUUGACUUUCCCACUGAACUUACUCCUAUAGUUCCUUACGGCAGAGAUGCCUGAGCCCCCUUUGGACUGGGGCGAUCCCAGGAGGGCAAAGACAGUUGAUGUGGAAGAACCUGGUGUCCUGCCAUACUGAAGAGCUUCAGGAUGAAUGAGUGAUCUUUUUUGUACAUGCCUAAGUCUUGUAUUUGUCCCCAAAAAUGCCACCGGAGCUGCAAAUCCAGCAGGCAAGCAGUUGCAGUUGAAAAAAAAUGGAAACCAGACCUCACACGGUGCUUCACCAUGUUGCUGCAGAAGGUGUUUGGGACUUCCCUGGCAGCAGGAGGCGGGUGGUGUUUGCAGCCCCCAGUGGCACACCCUGUGCUGGCCUGAAUAAUGUACCACUUGAAGGACCUGCUCAAAAAUAGCAUCCCUGGAUUUGGAUCUGUUUUGUGCUUGAUUAGGAGAAAGGCAAUGAACUCGGGCAGCCUGGCUCCCCAUUGCUCUUAUGGGGCAUUGGUGCCCAUGGCUCUUUCUCAGCAAGGAAAAGAAAGAACGGUGAAAUAGUAUCUUCCUUUAGAUCAGUCUAAAAAUGCUUCCUCUCCCCAUUUCUCACUUUGCUCCUUGCCAGCUCUCUUUGGCGCCUGGACAGACUGGAGGUGCAUCACUGGGAGGUGCGUUGUUCAGCUCACGGAUAAGCUGUGUCCAAAUGCAGACCCACAGAGCGGGAAAUGAACUUCAUCCCAAGGAACCUAUUUUCUCUGGUGACAUCUCCCAGGAUAAAACCUCCUACGUCUGACUGUGGUCCACUUCCUUUGCUCCUAGAUAACUGCUUGUACUUUGCAAUGUGUUGAAGAACACAGUUUUCCUUUGUGCCCAGCUCUUUGAGCCAUUCAGACUGCUUUUAUCGAUGAUCUCCUUCCACUCAAUUUACUCUUGUCUGAGCCUUUCCAUCGCUGGCAAAAUUUAUCAGCAAUGAUAUUAUGUCUUUUGAAAGGUGUUGACAAUGUGUUAAAUAACGUGGGGCCAAGGACUGAUCCAAGCAUCAAGAACUGAGGCACAUAUCUAGAAAUGUUCCUGUUUCGGUGCCAGCUCCUGGUUUGUCGUUAAGCUGAGGGAUUGGCUCAUAAAGCUGUUAUGUCUUAGCUGUGGGGAGAGAAGAGAAAAUGCAACUGCUCUGAGAAUUGGGCCCUUCCCUCCUCCUCAUCUGGGAACACUUGACCUCUGCAAAUCAUGGGCUUAAGCCCAGGUGAUGGAUGCUUUGAGUCCAGCAGGACCUCACUGCUGCGCAGGUGGAUGGAUGGGCCAAGCCCGGCCAUCGCUCCUGUGCCAUGGCAGCACUGAUGCCUGGAGCCCGCCGGUCAGCCCGUUUUACCACUUACAUGACCACAAGGGUGACUAGGUGAUGCCAUGCAUGUGGCGGCGGUACCUUGGGGAUGAAGCUGAUCUCCCAGCCAUCAAAGGGGAAGGAGAAGGGCUCCCACUGCACCUCCGCUGUCGUCUCUGUGAUGGUCUUGAACGUCAGCCCCUGCGGCGUGGCGAGGUCUGGAAGGGAGCAGGGCUCAAGUUUCUACUGCUAGAAGGUUUUUGUGGAAAAAGCGAGACAGCUUGAGCAUCACCUCUGGUUAUCUGGUUACCAAGUGACAAGUGCGGCAACGCCUGGCUCCAGCUCUGUGAUGGUGAUGCUGCUCCAGUCCCCGGGCACCCGCUGCUGGAGCUGGAUGCCCCCUGGCCCCGUCGGCUGGUACGAGAUGACAUACUCGGUGGCUGCCCCGGGGCUGUCCCAGGUCAGCUCGAUGGAGCUGUCGCUGAUCCCCGUCACUCGCAGGUUUCCAGGAGGAGCCACUGAUGGGAAGGGCAGAGCUCAGCUCCCAGUCGAUGGGAACUUCCCUAGACCUCUUACUGGGAAAAAGCCUUCCCUGGCCAAGGUCUCUGCACCAGCCGUGACUCCUGUUGUCUCCUCUCCACCCCCUGUUCCUUUUUACAGGAACUGCCAGGAUCAUUGAUCUGAAUCUCGUUAUCAGUAUAUUCAUCACGGCAGACACCGGUGGGAUGCUGCCCAGCUCUCGUUUCUGAGCGACCUCCCAAAAGAGGCUGCGGUACUCGCUGGUUUAGAGCAACGCAUCGCUCCCGUGCAUCAGCAUCGGUACUGGCUCUACGCUGAAAUCGCUCCUGGGUGCCACAGUCCUCCAGCCAUGGCAGGUGGGGAUGUAUGCACGGGCAAGCACACGUCUUGCUUCUGCUUUGCUUUGUGAUCUGGUGCAGCCGGGAUGCAGCGUGUCUGGCUUCACAUCGUCUCGUUCAGCCGCUGCCUCCGACCUGCUCCCCUGUGAAGCCUGGGGAGUCACCAGGCUAAGUCUCAUUUUCACAAGGGUGCCAGCUCUAAUCCAAGCCCAUCCCAGCAUUUUACUGAGCAAUUUGUGACGCUGCCUGUCUUAAUUUAUAUAUAUAUUUUCAGGCAGCAGCAGGUACGUUAUCAGCUCUCCCUUCAAAGCGACUGCGCUGAACCACACACCAUGAAAAACACUUGCUCGGUGCAAAAUUCACUUGUAUGACCAGCUUGCAAAGGUGGACACCUAACUGUGCAAUGAAAGCCAAGGUGGAUGCCUAAUUUUGUAAUAAAGGCUGUUAACAGUGGGCUUGGGCAGUGGCCUGGCUACUGCCCGUACCUCUUUGCUGUGACUGGCCCCAGCGCUCCGUGGGUGACGUUGAGAUGCAGGUGCAGACUGCAAACCCACGGUGCAGCAUGUCAUGGCUCAUGGUUAGAUGCUUCUCUCCAUCCUUUAACACCAACAUGGUGUCCGGUGUCCUGCAGGAGGGUGACGGCGUUCCCUUCUGGGUCUAUAUGUAACACCCCGGUCAAGUGGCACCUGGACUCCCAGGUCCUAAUGGGAGUUGCUGGCUGCUAAAGCUGAGCCCUUCCAUGCCUACUUACAAGGCUGGAUGUAUGAUUUGAGUUGUGGCAGGUGAAUAUUUCGUAGCCCAGCUCUCUGAGCACUAAAAUUUGAUGUCUGUUGGAGACGGCCUCGCCUGCCCCACUGCUGGGACAGCCCUGUCCCUUGGGACUCCCUACCCAUGAAAGGUCAUCACGUCCUGCACUGCACAGCAUAUAUUUAUUCACACUCAGUUAUGAAAUAAAUCACCCCUCAGCAGCCCUCUCUGUUGCAGAAUGGUUUAUUUAAUCCUUAUGCAGUGUCUCUGGGAGUUACAGCAGUUUUACCAGGGAGAGCUUGGGGGCAGAGGCUGGGAUGGCUCCUGCUGCUGCUCUCCCUUGCAUCACCGUUUGCCCAUAAUGAUGCUCCUGGGGGUAUCGCUCCUGCCCCAUGCCUAGGGAGAGAUUAAACUGCUAAAGGAAGAUAUUGGGAUGGGGCCAGGCCUUUCUGAGAUGCCACCAUUCAGCGUUAAAGCUGUGCACGCAUUUCUGAGCCCCACGACAGCCGCUCUGCCUGCCCUGGUGGCUCCCGGAGCUCCACCGGAGAUGCUUGGAAGCCGUAAAGGAGGAAUUAGCUGUAAUUAUGGAGCAUUGCAGGGCGUAAACACCCUCUAAAUCCUCUUUAAUUAUGUGGCAGUACUUAAUUACACGACAACUGGAAUGUAAGCGCAAAAAUAAAUAUGAUUUCAGUUUUAUCUUCAGCAGGGGCACCAGUAAUUAAUUUUGGAGGGUAACGUAGGACCCAGCUGAAUGUGGGCGUGGCGUGGAUCCUGCAGGCACAAUACUGCAGAGGUGCUGCUGCCCAGGACAGUCAAAUCUCCUUUCUCCUCCCUCUCUAACAGCCAUGGCUUUGCCAACCCUUCCCACUCCCCCCUCAGCGGCAUCCCACUUUCUGCCCAUCCAUGCAUAGGCAGUCAGGGUGGUGAUCCUCCCGGUCAUCCUCCAGCAUGGGGAAAACCAAGCAUGAGAGCCUCCACGGUUAAUUGAUCCCACCUCAAUUAUGCUGUGAACUCACAGCCCAUAACCAGCGGGUGGGAUUCGGAUUGUUCUCAGCUGUGGGCACGAGGCUUUUUUUUUUCCCGUUUGCUCCCAGCACUCAGCUUGGGUGCCAGCAGCAAGCCCUCGUGCUCGUGUAGCCAAUGCUUGGCUGUCAUGUUGCAUUAGAGUCUACGAGCCAACCCGGACCUCCUCAGGGCUUAGUUGAAGCAAAUGAAAACGGCCCAGCUUGGGAUGCUCCAUCGCCAAAAUGCUGCCACCCAUUACCCCUGCCACAGAUUGAGCAUACGGUGUGAUGGAGAUGAAGGAGUGUGCGACGAAGUAGAAAGUCAUGUUGAAGAAAUCUGAUGUGCUGCAACCUCCAUUGCCCUGUAUAAUCUCUGAAUGCUGCCGGCGCGACCACGUUUAAAUGGAUAACAGCACUGCAGACCAGGAGAGGAAAAUCCCCGCUAUUAUCAUGGCUUUUUUUAACCAUAAUUAGGGGAUUGCUGCAUUUUUCCCCAGGAACUCUGAGCAAGAGCACCCAGGAACUCAGUCUGCUUUCAGUGAAAGCAAAGCCACCUGCUGAAGUCAAAUGAGCACAGUUUUUUUAACUUGCUUUUUGGUUUGCCUAGUCAUUUAUACCUGACCCGAAGUCAGGGGAAUGGAAAAGAAAUGCUCAUCUGGUGUGUUUUUGCAUUUGUUUUCCCCCCACAUGUGUAUUUUUACACUGUGGGGAUGAAGCAGAGGUCAGGGCCAUGUGAUCAGGGUUGUGCAUGCUGUGGCUUUCCCCCACCUGCUUUAUAACACACCCCCCCUCCACUAGAAAAAAUUCAGAUUUUCCUUGCUUUUUAAUAUGUUGCUCAAACUAAAUCACAUCUUACAGCUGAUUUACACGCAUAUGCAACCUGGCAGGUAGCACCAGGGUUUGUGCUGUUCGAACCCUCCAGUAAUUGAUAUUUUCUACUCCCCUUCCCACUGUCAUUUCACCCGGAAUAUUCAGAGCAGCAGUAGGUACUUGUGCAAUGGAUUUGGGGCUGGAGCAAAGUUGCUGCGGUGGGGCUGGCUGAUGAUUUUGCUUGGGCAAAGCUUGUCCCAGGCCCCUCUUGGUGACCUACAGGGUCUCCUCAGGAAGGGAACAGCCUUGCAGCAGUGACCACAAGGAGCCUGCAAAUGUUUUCUAUCAUUUCCCAUUGAAAAGACAGCUGAAGGGAGCACGAGAAAGCCAGAGCGGAGUAAUGAAUUGUGGUCCUGCUGCAGAGACUUCAUUUGAUAAAUAAUGUAUAUAGAGUUUGCAGUAAUAACUGUUUUUUUCUGACCCAGGCAGCUGGUCUGGGUUUGACACAUCCUGGAUGUAUUCCUCCUUCCAGGUGGUGAAUGGGAUGACGGGUGCUUGCUCCCGCAGAGGAAGGCAGGGCAGGCAGUGACAGGCUCUGUUGUGUCAGAUAGGUUAAUCUGGGGCUUUUCUCACUUCUGAUGAGCCACACGUGCGUGUACGGAGAGGAGGCAGCAUUUCCAGGCACUGCAGGGGGAAAGAGACGCACUGGUGGUGCUGUGUUUAGGAAAGCUCCCCAGGUUAAUGCGUGUCAGGGACAUAUGGCCAAGAGGAGACCUAUAGCCCUGGGUUGGCGCACGCAUACCCACCACCCCAACACCAGGAUGCUGCACCCUGACCUACCCACCAGCCCCGGUCCAGCCUGAUGCUGGAGAUGUGGCUCCCCCACCCCAGGACAGUGCCCCUCAUCCUUCCCUUGGUAGGGACGGGUCCUCCUCUGAAACAUCUUUUUUGGCUGCAAGCAUGCUUCCCAAAGAGCAUGUGGCAUUGCCCGCAGGUGGAUCCCCCAGGAAAGAUGGGAUGUUGGAAAUGACCAGCUAAAUCACCCCUGGUCAUCCUUGUGCAGCGCUGGGAGCAAGGAUUUCCCUUUGCAAUUUGUGCUGCUGUUACAACGGCGUUACGUGAGGUGGUCGCAUCCCCUCCUCUCCCCAGUUUGCCAUCCCUUUGACCCUAACAGCCAUAGCAGGGGGGCAGCCCAGCCAGUGGGUUUGGCCCUCGUCCUCCCUCUUUUGACAUCUCAGGAUGUGGAGGUAGGAAAAUAAGGGCUGCAAGUGGGUCUCUUUAGGGAGCCAAAAGAAAGGGGAGAAUCCCCCCCUGCCUCUCUGCCCUGAUGCUCUUAAAAACUGCUUUCACAACAGCUAAGAAAAAAACGUGCACCUUCCCAAAGAACAAGCUGAGACUCCAGAUUGCUUAAUAUUCCAGGGGCUCAUUUUUGGGCUCUGGAAAAAGGGCAAGGGGGGAUAGGGGAGAGGAGGACUGUGAUCACCCACCCAGCCUUGGAGGCCAUGGUGGUUCAGGGCUCUCCUAAGCCUCGAGAGCCUGUCUGCCCCAGGUAGCGAGAGGGGCUCACAGGGGCAGGACAGAGCUGGGCUGGGCUUUUAGGAUGGGAACCCUCUACAACAAGUAAUGCCGAGAUGUGCAGUCCAAAUCCUAGAUUUCCUUAGGUUAUACCUUCCUGACAGCUGGGGUAGCUGCCACAGACAUGUCUGGGUCUGAGGAGCUGGCUGGGUGCCUGCACAGACCCCCCAGUGCCUCUGGAGGAAUAUAAAAUGGCUUUAAUCAAGGUACGCCAGAGAUAAUAUUCUUCAGUCAUUUUUAUAGCAGGUCUUGAAGGCUUCUACUGGAGCGGUUUGGUUAAAAAUAGAUUUGUUUCUGUUGUACUUUGGCGGAAGACCUGGGCUACCGUAUUAACGAAGGGAAACCCAAGAUCCUUGGGAAGGGAAAACAGCUGCAGUCAAUGUGGGCUUGCACCAGCCAAAGACCUGAGUCAGGUUGGGGUUUUACUGCCCUAUAAUAGGUAAGUACCUCAUUAAGGAGUGGAUAUAAGUGUGUAACAUAAUUUCAUUGAGCCUGGAGCUGGUGCAGGGCAUGGGAGCUUGGAGGCAAGCCCACUGCUUUGUGAUGUUUUUUAAGCUAGAGCUUGGUUUUGCUCGCUUUAGUUCUCCCACUAGUAUUGUAAGUGUUGGGGUUAGACAGUUCACCAGCGAGCACUUAAAAUCAAUUUUAAGGCUGUUUUUAUGCUGAAGAACUGUGUGGAGAUGUAAGACUCAGCAUGAAGGAGACCCCUUCAGGCCUGUGACAGGCAGUGAUGUGAUGUAACCCUUUUCAUGGACGGGUCAAAAUUCAUCUUCAGGUUGACUUCUGUGGUCCCCAAUGUCCCAGAAGGCUGGCUCAGCACCUCGUAUUUCGGAGACUCUGACAAUCUCUAAGCCAAAAUUAACCACAGUCAGUUGAAACACACUUCUGUGCCUGCCUUUGCUGCCCUCCUUCACUUCUUAUGGAAUGGAUAGAUAAAUAAUGAUAAAUAACACACUGCAGCCAUCCGAGCAGGGCUUGCUGAACUGAGAAACGAGAUCACUUGGGCAGCAAUUGCAGCACUGUGGGAAGACGGGAAACGGCCAAAAAAUAUUUGCAGAGUUGGAGCGUAGCAAUUUGAAAGCAAGGAAUUAUUGGCUGCAACCUAUUCCUGCAGAAAGUGAGGAGCAAACGCCCCUUGAUGCCUGCUGGGAGCAGGACAGCCCUGUCAAAUUAGGCAGACUCAACCUGCUAAUUGAGUUGGACAUGGACUGCUUCUUAUGCACUUUAAACAGAGCAAAUAGGACAGUGUUCAGAGGGAUGUCUUGGUGUAUGGCUGGACCUGGCCUCUCCCUGGCUACCCCCACCCACCACCAGCCUGCAACGGGCCAUGCGAUGAGGGCUACACAGCUGCAAUUUUCUCUUCAAAAUCAGAGGCAUUAGGCACUGUGGUGCCUCCACUACCUGUAACUCCAAGCUGUGACUGCUGAGCAGGGCAGGGAGGAUGGCACUUCAGAGGAUGGGGCUCUUUUGUUGAGUCUGGAAGCUAGGCAUCCCUGGAAAACUGCUGGUGAGGCCACCAGCUGGGAAGGCUUGAGAUGCAUCAUGGUAAGACUGGUGGGACCUCUGUGGUUCUAGUGAAGUUCAAAUUGUUGCAGUAGGAGAAAGGGGUUGAAGCUUUUGAGAGAUUUGUGCAAGAAGCUCUGCAUGGGAAAAUGAAUGGGAAACAGCAGAAAACACUCUAUUCACUCAACUGGCAAGGCAAGGAUCCCACCUGGGAACAGGCUUGGGUGGUUCCUUGCUGCAAGGAACAGAUCCACUGACAUUUCAGGGUGGUCCUCCUUGAGAGGGGGACAACGACUUGCACAUGAGUAUGAUGUCCCCAGCUGGGUUUUGCUGUGGGUUAGGGCGUCCUUCUGGAGUAGGUCACCAUGAGGCUUUCAAGCAGGCUGGUGUUCUGGCACAGCCAUUUCCAUUUUGGAGCAAUUGUUUUACCUUUUGGGAUAUAAUUCAUUCAUUUGAUGUGGCUGAGUGGAUAGGGUGGGCGGCAGCAGUCAGGCAUUUCACCCCCACCCUGACCCUGGCCAUGCUCUUUUGCCAUGGAUACAUCUUGCUGGUGCACUGCUGCUUAACCCCUUUGAAAAAUGGGGAUAACAUAGGGCUAGCUCCCUAUGAAAUGCUGAGAUGACAGCCUAAUGAACAGUACCAUGAGCUGGUGGAAAUCUGUUUCUCUGCAGAGGUGCCAGUCUAAUUUUCCACUCUAGAUAGAUAUUUAAUUACCCAAAGUCCUUGUACUCUGGUGGGAUUACCUAUAGAACACUUCUCUUCCACAAAGUCCAAAAUACUCCGCUAAAAUGCAUGUGAGGAAGGGAAACAGAAAGCCUUGUAACAGACUUCUCAGACGUGUGCUCAGCUGGGCAGGUGACAGGGACAACUCCACUGCCAAAACUACGGAAAAAGAUUAAUUUUACAAUCUGGUCACACUGAAAUUUGGGUGGGUUCUCUUCCUAUCUUGGCUGGCCUUGCCAACCUCUAACAUGGUGUUUGGCUGGUCUGUAGGAGAUAAAAUUGAGCUGUGAUGUCUCUGAUACCUCAUUUUCUUUUUUAAGUGAAGUAAGUAGAAAAGAAUGUUCUUUUAACACAAAGCUUGGCUGGAAGAUCAAUAGCAGCUUCACAUGUAUUUUUGUCUAAUAUUUGGUUUUGCAGGGCUCUGGGAAAAAAAAAAUCAUGUUGCUUUUCAUGCAGCACGUGGAUGUGACGAGCUCUGCUGCCAGGUUCUGGGCUUUCAUCACAAAUUGCCUCCUUGGACUGAGGCCAACACCAUGUGGCCAGGGCCAGGCCAGAGCAGCUCAGAUCUCCUCCUGCCCAAAUAGGUGGGUGCCCUAAAGCCAAGGCAUGGUUGGUGUUUCACCUGUGGUGUUCUGGUGUGCCUUGCAGAGGGGCUUUCACUCAUUACGGCUUGUACGGUGCUGCAGCAUGCUCCGAUGGAAGGUUUUCUGCUUGCAAGUCAUUAUAAUCAUUCUCAUAUAUGAUUAUGUUUCCUGGCAGGGGAUCUAGUCUGCUAGAUACACACCUGCCUUGGCUGUUCUGGAGAAACCAAAGGAAUGCCAAGCGUUGUUGAUAGUUAUUUUGAAAUUCCAUCUCCUUCACCCUGUGUUUCUCCUUUCUAAAGCUGCUGCAGCUCUCACAGGUGAGAUGGCUAAUUACAGGGGUGGUACCAGCCAUAAGUAAUUAGGUUGGCUGAUCAACUCCUUUUAGGUCCAUGUGGCUCUGCUGAGUUCUUGCUUGUUUGUAUCAGCUCAGGAGCAGAGUAUCUAUGGUAAGGAUGGGGCUGGGGGUUUUGUGGUGCUGGGUGGACACUAAGUGUGGUUAGUGAUGCUCUAGAUAGAUAGGAGAUAUAGCUAAGAGGGAGAAGACAGGGAGCUGACUUUUUCUGUAAGGACUGUGCUUCCAUGAGGAACAUGGAAGUCUGGUGGGGUGCCUGUGGCAGUGCUGCCUUUUGAUACCAGGUGGAAGAAAUACCAGAAGAUCCUGGAGUGCUACUUCUGUCUUGUUCCAGUAUGUGCAUUAACAUGCUGUUGCUCUGCCACGUGUUGGCCCCUGAGAAGCCUGAACGUUGCCUGUGGCCUUGGAGGAGGAAACACAUUGAUCUUCUGUGACCUGAGUCCUGUGCUCCGGAGUUCAGACCCAACCCUGACUGUGCAAUGUCAGGACUGCUGCUGCUUGCCUGAAGACUGACUCAGACUGGGCUGAUGCCCAGGUGAAAUGGCUCAUGAAUCCAGUCCUGGUGUUUGUCUGCUGUGGGAGCUGACAUCAUGGUUCUGGGCUCAUCAGCAGUGUUUGGAUGCUCUUCCCCCAGCUGCACGUAAGGUAUAUCCUGGCACCGAUAGGUGCUCUGCAGCCCCUGUGUCUCACUGGUGCUUUGUGACAUUCAGGUGGGGAAAAUCAUGUUCCCCAAGAGGCAGAAGUGGCCAAGGGCAGCCAGGUUGCCUUGGCUGUACCAAAACCAGCUUCUGUGGUGUCUCUACCCCAUUCACACUGGCUGCAGGCAGGGUUGUGGCACAGCUGCCUGCACCCCUGGUAUCUCUGCUUGGUGCUGCAGGCUGGUCGUGGUGCUAGCAGGAUGGUGUCAGGUCCCCAGGACCUUGCUGUGACAUCUGUUUUAUAUUCCUAAGUGAGGAGGCUGCAAAGAGCAUCCCUUGGAGGGGGUCUCUGUGUGUGACUGAGGUGACUGCUCAGCUUUAACCCCACUGAGCAGCUCUAAGCAAGAGAUGUCACCCCACCAUGUGUGCCACCAUGCCACACUCCAUGAGGGCACCUGUAAUGCUGCAGGACCUGGACAAGGCAGGCCCAUCUCUGCAGGACUCUUCCUUUGGAUCAGAGGACCCCCUUUCUCCCCUUCUUCCAAGCUCUUCACCACAGCUCUCUCAGCAGAUCCCACAUCUCUGAGCAGUCCAAGAGUCGACAAGAAAUCAAACGGCAACAUUUUGGACAAGUAGGUGAAGUGAAAACUUACACCCCGGGGGAGGAGUGAAUGCACACGCAUCUGUGCAGGCACAGGGUGAGCAAUGCCCAUCAUGGAAAUCUACAGCGGCUGAGUGUACCUUCUCAGAGUUGAAAAGAGCAUGUCUUUAAUUUCUACAACACCAGCAACAAAUCGGUGUGGAGGCGAUGUCGCCACUGGUGGCUUUGGCACAGUCAUCCAGGAAGGCGAGGGGAAAGGAGAACCAGAGCUUGCAGCAGCCUGUUCCCACAGCAGCCAGUUUGACUCCCAGUUUUCACAUGGAUGCCAAUAGACGAUUUUUGCCCACUGCUUACAAAUUGUUUUAUAAAACACUCAGUCAAGACUUCUCACUACUCUGAUACCACAGCAACGACCAUGAAAACUUAAUUUGUUUGCCUGGCGAACCCUGGGCUGAACAUGUACAUUUGGGCUCAGCCCAAAGCUGGGUCCUGGUGAGACCCAUGAGCUCCUUGGCUGUGACAUGCCUGGAUUUCAUUCCAAACUAAAUGACCAUGGAUGCCAAGCGUGCAGAGUCCAACUCUCAAAUCCUUGUAAGACUUUAAGAAUUAAAAAGAAACUAUAACUUUGGGGAAACUUCA